AUUGAACGCUGGCGGCAUGCCUUACACAUGCAAGUCGAACGGCAGCACGGGAGCUUGCUCCUGGUGGCGAGUGGCGAACGGGUGAGUAAUACAUCGGAACGUACCCUGAAGUGGGGGAUAACGUAGCGAAAGUUACGCUAAUACCGCAUAUUCUGUGAGCAGGAAAGAGGGGGAUCGCAAGACCUCUUGCUUUAGGAGCGGCCGAUGUCGGAUUAGCUAGUUGGUGAGGUAAAGGCUCACCAAGGCGACGAUCCGUAGCGGGUCUGAGAGGAUGAUCCGCCACACUGGGACUGAGACACGGCCCAGACUCCUACGGGAGGCAGCAGUGGGGAAUUUUGGACAAUGGGCGCAAGCCUGUUCCAGCCAUGCCGCGUGAGUGAAGAAGGCCU
rnacentral:rRNA from 1 species